CAACGUGGGAGAACCGGUUCAUCCGGUGCCGAAGGAGCAACCGCCCCGGAAACUCUCAGGCCAAAGGGACCGCGUUGU
rnacentral:ncRNA from 1 species